GACGAACGCUGGCGGCGUGCUUAACACAUGCAAGUCGAACGAUGAACUUGGAGCUUGCUCUGGGGGAUUAGUGGCGAACGGGUGAGUAACACGUGGGUAACCUGCCCUGGACUCUGGGAUAACUUCGAGAAAUCGGAGCUAAUACCGGAUAGGACCUUGCACCGCAUGGGGUGGGGUGGAAAGUUUUUCGGUUUGGGAUGGACUCGCGGCCUAUCAGCUUGUUGGUGAGGUAAUGGCUCACCAAGGCGUCGACGGGUAGCCGGCCUGAGAGGGUGACCGGCCACACUGGGACUGAGACACGGCCCAGACUCCUACGGGAGGCAGCAGUGGGGAAUAUUGCACAAUUGGCGCAAGCCUGAUGCAGCAACGCCGCGUGCGGGAUGACGGCCUUCGGGUUGUAAACCGCUUUUAGUAGGGAAGAAGCCUUCGGGUGACGGUACCUGCAGAAAAAGGACCGGCUAACUACGUGCCAGCCGCCGCGGUAAAAC
rnacentral:rRNA from 1 species